CUCUCUCUACCCUGCAUGUGAGGUCAGAACGCCCACGCGGAAUAUUUUUCCUUCGGGGUCGCUUUUAGAGGCGCUGUGAGCCAGCCCACCGUUGAGUGGGACGCCUGAUGCGCCAACAAGAGACCCCACCUCAUGGUAACUCGUUGUGAGGCACAAGGAUCCACGGCAGGCGUGGAGAGUUU
rnacentral:other from 2 species